UCUUCAUGUCGUCCGGCCUCCUCCGCAGCUCGCGCAGCUGCAAUUUAAAGAGGACAAGAGAAGAACAUAAGGCCCAAAGUCUGAUUCCCUUCUGAGGUAAUAAAUGGAGCAGGACCUACUGAAGACAACGCUGUGACACAGCCAUCACAGGUUUUUAGGUAGCAGGUCCUGCAAGGAGGACUCUGAUGAGCUGCGCAGCCACCGAGAAAAAGCGGACUGCUCGCCGCAGCACCAGAAGCUGGGAAUUUCGUCCGGUGAUCCUGUAGAUGCUGGGGCGGAUUUCCAGGAAGCGCGGCAACUCUGAGCGUCUGACCUAAGAGAUACUGUGAACAUCCCUUCAAAUGAAAUCCUAUGAAGAAGUCCAAUUAAUAUGUGAACAGAAAGCAGAAACGCCUCCAUUCGAGGAAGUCUCUGGCUGAGCAGUGCCUCCACCACCCUAUCAUGCCUGUCAGUACAUUGAAGAGAGGGAACCACCACUUUUUGCUUCAUUCUUUGAAGACCAAGCUGAGGUGAAGAGGGAGCAUGGAAGGCAAUUCCUAAAAUAUCUAAGAAAACGUGAGAGUAAAAUCUGCAUUCCGGUGAUUAAGCUUGUACGCUUCUUGGGAAAGUACUUGGAUAAACAGAAGAGGAACACAAACUACCUAGAACGCCAGAUUGUCUAUCAUAAGGGAUUAGAAAAGAAGGCCGAGGAGGAAGACCCGUUUAAGAAGCCUGCUGAAGCGUCAGGUAAAGAGAGCUAACAUCUGAAGGCAGCAAAGCAAGUCUUUCCAUUGUUGCUCCCCAAAUCGGCUACUUAAGAAUCUUACUCUUCUUCAUUCGACAGAAGACUGCUUUCCUUCAUUGCUGUGUGUACAAAUAAAUUGGCUUUUGCAUUAUAAC